AAAGAAGUAAACAGAUUGCAUGGAAAUUUGAAGUAAAAAAAAAAAGAAAACGGAAUACAGGGUGCCUCUCCACUCCACAGCACCUGAGUAUGAAAGCUGGGAUGUCCAGAUGAGAAGCUGGGACUGACGGACACAUUCAGUGCUGAAUCAUCAGGUUGGACAAGUCCUGAAACAUCUGUCACAGCUUUUGGUUCUAUUGAAAUAUUUGGUCAGGAAUGUGUCACUGCCUCAAGCUGCAUGCAGGUUCCUUUCAAAUGCCAUGUGCUUCAGCCUGUCUGGCUCCUUCUGGACACUGAUCACCUUUCUACACCAAUUCAGCCUGUCUUUCUGUCUAGUGGCCACAGCAACCACAAGGGACACCUUUACUGAGAAAGCCCAUAGAACCAUUGCCAUUUUCCAGAGAGAAGAGCUGGGGCAGAAUAGUGCUGUACUAUCUCUGACAUGUGAGGCUGCUGGGAGCUAAUUCUCCCCACUAAAUGACCUUACAUGGUUCAGUAACAAUCUGCUGCAGGAAUCACUGACAUGGAUGAUUGUUCUUUGACUUUUAACCUCCAGGUAAUAGAGAUUAAGUGCUACUUGGAUGGAGACAAUAUUUUCUAGUGUUGAAUUUCUAAUAACUACACGACAUGACAUCAUGAAAAAUAACGGAGUUUACAAUAGAAAGCUACUCCUCCUUUUCUCUCUGUUAUAAACUGCAUUUGUCUCUGGAAGAACUUAAUUCAAAUAUAAUGUCAACAGAGUCUUCAAUUCUUUACAUGUUUUUGGAUCAUAUAUACAAAGAAAGAUCAUUUAAUACAUGUGAAGCUAUAUUGUUAUUAUCAAACACUCUGUUAAGUAGAAGACAGAAAUUUUACUCAGGUUAGAUGGCAAAGAAAUUAAUAUUCUAGUUUCCCAACAGUAUAGAAUUUGCUAAAAUCUGGACGUGGCAAAUUAGUCAUUAUAUACAACAGCUCUUUAGCAGCUAAAUGCUUGUUUAUGCUGUAAUCCCAUGUUGCUCUUAUUGAUUGUAUUUCCUUCUACAGUAUAUACUGUUCUUCCUAGAAGUUGUUUAACUUUUUCUCUUUUUAAUAAAUGUAUUAUUUUCUGAAGUCCUGGAUAGUCU
rnacentral:lncRNA from 1 species